rnacentral:misc_RNA from 1 species
AAGUCGUAACAAGGUUUCCGUAGGUGAACCUGCGGAAGGAUCAUUAACACGUAUCCAAACGUUAAAACCCAUCCUUGCACAAUCAAUGACACUUUCCGACACUGACUGCUUGGGGAAACAUUGCCUAUAGAACUACCGCUCGAUUGUAACUGUUCCAAUGUUCGCACGUAGCCAGAGGUCUCUGAAUCACUACAACUUUCCGGGCUAUGAUUUAUCAGAGAGUGCGAACUACGCGGGUUACAAGAGCAGGAUGAAGGUUCACGGGGGACGAUUCCUGUAGACCGUACACUCGGGCAGGAGCUUUGCCAAAGGGUCCCCAUGCCCCCUAAUAACCCCACUGAAGCUCAAUGUAAUACAUUGGGUAAACCGAACAACUGUUAACAAUGGAUAUCUUGGUUCUC